UACGUAGGGACGAGCGUUGUCCGGAAUUACUGGGCGUAAAGGGCGCGCAGGCGGUAUAUCAAGUCAGCCUGUCAAAGACUGGGGCUCAACCCUGGUAUGCGGUUGAAACUGAUAUGCUGGAGUGCUGUAGAGGCAAGUGGAAUUCCCAGUGUAGCGGUGAAAUGCGUAGAUAUUGGGAAGAACACCGGUGGCGAAGGCGACUUGCUGGGCAGCAACUGACGCUGAGGCGCGAAAGCCAGGGGAGCAAACGGGAUUAGA
rnacentral:rRNA from 1 species